rnacentral:tRNA from 1 species
CCGCCCGUAGCUCAGUUGGUAGAGCAGGAACCUUUUAAGUUCAAGGUCGCAGGUUCGAUCCCUGCCGGGCGGA